UUGAACGCUGGCGGCAUGCCUUACACAUGCAAGUCGAACGGUAGAGGGGCAACCCUUGAGAGUGGCGAACGGGUGAGUAAUAUAUCGGAACGUGCCCAGUCGUGGGGGAUAACGCAGCGAAAGCUGCGCUAAUACCGCAUACGAUCUAUGGAUGAAAGCGGGGGAUCGCAAAGACCUCGCGCGAUUGGAGCGGCCGAUAUCAGAUUAGGUAGUUGGUGGGGUAAAAGCCCCA
rnacentral:rRNA from 1 species